rnacentral:misc_RNA from 1 species
UUAAGUUCAGCGGGUAUCCCUACCUGAUCCGAGGUCAACCAUUGAAAAAUAGAUGUUGUCCGGCUGGAACGCCCGGGCGGCUCGAAGCGGGAGUAAUUACUACGCUCGAUCACCGGCCGCACCGCCGCUGUUUUCCAGGCGCGCCCCGGGGGGACGGCACCCAAUACCAAGCCAGGCUUGAGGGUUGUAAUGACGCUCGA